UUUCGCCCUCCCUGCCUCCAUCGCCCUCCCGCGCCCGCUGCUCUACGGCUCGCUACGCGCCCCGGGCCCCCGGGGGCAGUCGGGACCUUCGCCUAGGCUCCGCUCGCAGGGGGCUACGGUGCACUAACUCUUACCCCUGCAGGAGCCGGGCUGGGAGCAGAGACCGCACCCCGGGGAGGAUGAACGCACUGCACCUGCCGGCUGGGCGACAACUCCUGCAGUGCCUACAACUUUUAUAAGCAGAGGAAAGCCCCGGGCAAGAUGCAGAGCUCACCAUGCAGACGUCUGGGCUAAGCUCUUAUUGGCAUGCACAUCCUUCCUGAGUUAUUCUGGGGAGAAGGAAUUGCUUUGGCUGUGUGCUUGGGGCUUCUCCUGGACUGACUUAAGAAAAAGGGUUGCAAAUGUUA